rnacentral:snoRNA from 1 species
AAGAUCAUACUUUUAGGGAUCAUUUCUAUAGUGUGCAUCUUGAAAACGUCAUCAAAAUAUGACGAAUCCUCAACUACGAUGAUGAGUCGUAGGGAUUCCUUCUGAGCAUGAAGCUUGGUUCACAUUAUCUUCGGAUAAUAUGAACUUUUGAGGAUUGUUCUUGGAUUUCCUUUUGGAGAUCUAGGAGGAAGGAAUCUCCGGCUGAGUAG